rnacentral:rRNA from 1 species
GCGACCCCAGGAUGGGCGAGGCCACCCGCCGAGUUUAAGCAUAUUAAUAAGCGGAGG